rnacentral:rRNA from 1 species
GACGAACGCUGGCGGCGUGCCUAAUACAUGCAAGUCGAACGCAGUGGGGACGGGUGAGUAACACGUGGGUAACCUCCCAUCAGAGGGGAUAACACUUGGAAACAGGUGCUAAACCGAUACUGAUGGCUGAACCCGCGGUGCAUUAGCUAGUUGGUGAGUUAACGGCUCACCAAGGCCACGAUGCAUAGCCGGCCUGAGAGGAUGAUCGGCCACACUGGGACUGAGACACGGCCCAGACUCCUACGGGAGGCAGCAGUGGGGAAUCUUCGGCAAUGGGCGAAAGUCUGACAGAGCCACGCCGCGUGAGUGAAGAAGGUCUUCGGAUCGUAAAAUUCUGUUGUUAGGGAGGCGUUAUCUACAGAGAAAGCCACGGCUAACUACGUGCCAGCAGCCGCGGUAAUAC